rnacentral:rRNA from 1 species
AUUGAACGCUGGCGGCAGGCCUAACACAUGCAAGUCGAGCGAGCGGCGGACGGUUGGCUAAUGUAUGGGGCUGUUCCCGGUAGAGGGGGAUCACUAACGGACACUGUGGCCAACACCGCCUUCUAUCGGAUGAACCUAUUUAGGAUUAGCUAGUAGGUGGGGUAAAGGCUGACCUAGGCGACGAACUCUAGCGGGUCUGAGAGGAUGAACAGCCACACUGGGACUGAGACACGGUCCAGACUACUACGGGAGGCAGCAGUGGGGAAUAUUGCACAAUGGGCGUAAGCCUGAUGCAGCCAUGCCGCGUGUAUGAAGAAGGCCUUCGGCUUGUAAAGUACUAUAAGUGGGGAGGCGUUACCAACAGAAGAAGCACCGGCUAACUCCGUGCCAGCAGCCGCGGUAAUAC